rnacentral:rRNA from 1 species
UUAAGUGGCGGACGGGUGAGUAACGGCGUGGGUAACCUGCCGUAAUACAGGGGGAUAACACUUAGAAAUAGGUGCUAAAACCGCAUAAGCGCACAGGCGCCCGCAUGGCGCAGUGUGAAAAACUCCGGUGGUAUACGAUGGACCCGCGUCUGAUUAGCCAGUUGGCAGGGUAACGGCCUACCAAAGCGACGAUCAGUAGCCGGCCUGAGAGGGUGGACGGCCACAUUGGGACUGAGACACGGCCCAAACUCCUACGGAAGGCAGCAG